AUAACUUUAUUUUUAAUUCACACACAUUUCGUCACAUGUUUCGGGGUGCCCAAGAACUCAUAGAGUUUACGAGGUCGAAACCAUGGGAAAUGUGGAGGCCUAAC
rfam:Vibrio sp. JCM 19236 DNA, contig00009.